rnacentral:ribozyme from 2 species
GCUGUAAUGCUACCACAUACACGGUGAGAGUUCCAAGUCUCUAUUAAAAGCAGAGGACAGC